GACGAACGCUGGCGGCGUGCUUAACACAUGCAAGUCGAACGGAAAGGCCCUGCUUUUUUGGGGUUCUCGCGUGGCGAACGGGUGAGGAACACGUGAGUAACCUUCCCUUGACUUUGGGAUAACUUCAGGCAACUGGUGCUACUACCGGCUAGGAGCUCCUGCUGCAUGGUGGGGGUUGGAACGUUUCGGCGGUUGGGGCUGGACUCGCGGCUUAUCAGCUUGUUGGUGGGGUAGUGGCCUACCAAGGCUUUGACGGGUAGCCGGCCUGAGAGGGUGAACGGCCACAUGGGGACUGAGAGACGGCCCAGACUGCUACGGGAGGCAGCAGUGGGGAAUAUUGCACAAUGGGCGGAAGCGUGAUGCAGCAACGCCGCGUGCGGGAUGAAGGCCUUCGGGGUGUAAACCGCUGUCGCCUGUGACGAAGCGGGAGUGACGGUAAUGGGUAAAGAAGCACCGGCUAACUACGUG
rnacentral:rRNA from 1 species